CAAUGGGUUUUUCGAAUCAAACGCGAUAAAAAUGGAAAUGUCGAAAAGUUCAAAUCUCGCUUAGUUGCACAAGGAAAUAUUGCUGGAAACAUACGGCAUGGGCAAAUGCCGGCAAGUCAAUACACCACUUGAUCCAGGUUUUCAAGUUGAAUGUAGCGACGACAACUGCAAAAAGAGCAUGAAGCUGCAGCAAAACAUAUUCUUAGGUACCUGGCAGGUAUGAUGGAUUUGGCUAUCACAUACAGCAAAUGUGAUGCAUCAGCAACAGGAUACGCCGAUGCAGAUUGGGCAAAUGACAUCCGAGACAGACGCUCAUAUAGUGGCUACGCGUUCUUUCUCGCUGGCAGUGUAUUCUCUUGGACUUCAGCAAAACAGAGUGUCGUUGCUUUAAGCAGCACAGAAGCGGAGUACAUUGCGUUAACGUUGGCUGCAAAGGAAGCAGUCUAUUUGCGAAGACUUUUAAAUGAGAUUGGCUGGUUAACAGAUGAGAAGCCAAUGAAGAUCCAUGGUGACAAUAUCAGCUCGCAGCACAUUGCACAGAAUCCAGUGCAUCACAAACGGACAAAGCACAUAGAUAUUAAGUACCACUUUGUUCGUGAAAAAUUACAAUCUAAAGAGAUAGAACUUACAUAUGUGAAUUCAAACUGUAAUGUAGCUGAUAUUCUUACCAAAUGUUUACAUAAGUCUAAGCAUAAUUAUUUUGUUAAGUUAAUUGGUUUAUCCUAGCAAAAGAUUUGUUAACUAAAAGAUUAUAUGUAGCUUAAGAAGUGUUGAAAAUGUAAUUGAAAUUAGCAUUAACAUAAGCAUACAUGUAAUCUGGCAACACCAUAAGAAGAAUGUAAUGAACAUUAUUCUGUUUAUAUUUUACUCUUUAUUAAACCUUUAACCGAA